rnacentral:rRNA from 1 species
CCUACGGGGUGCACCAGGCGCGAAAACUCCGCAAUGCGCGAAAGCGUGACGGGGGAACCCCAAGUGCCGUUGGACUUUUGUUCGACGGCUUUUAUGGAGUCUAGGAAGCUCCAGGAAUAAGGGCUGGGUAAGUCGGGUGCCAGCCGCCGCGGUAAA